rnacentral:rRNA from 1 species
AUCUCUACCAUUGGUCGUACGACACUUGUUAGGUUGGUCAUCUCCUCCCAAGCGGUGUUCUCCAUCACGCCCCUCAUCGUGCCUCAGGGCUCUCUAGAUAGCCUAAAUAAGAUUGAGCGGGCUUUCCUUUGGUCCGGUGCGGACAAGACAACGGGAGCCAAAUGCAAGGUCAACUGGGAGGUGGUUUGUAGACCAAAACAACACGGUGGCCUUGGUGUCCUCAACACAAACAAAUUUUCGCGUGCUUUGCGGCUUCGGUGGCUGUGGUUCGAAUGGAACGAUCCCUGCAAAUUAUGGGUUGGACUAGGAAACCCCUGCACCGAGGAGGACUACGAGUUUGUCUAUGCCUCUACGACUAUUACGGUGGGAGAUGGCGCCAAAACGCCUUUUUGGGACUCCCUGUGGCUUCUUGGUCGCAAACCCAAGGAUAUUGCACCUCUCAUCUUUACGGCCUCGACAAGAAAGAACUAUAAGGUUCGUGAAGCCCUCAAGGGGAACGCUUGGAUCCUCAAGAUCAGCCACGUCGUGGUUGUCUCCGCCGCCCACAUCCGGGAAUUUUCACUCUAUGGAUGCUCCUAA